GCCUUCGGCAAACCCUGUAGUCCCAGAUGAGACGCCGCAUGAUGCGGCGUCUCAUCUGGGUCUGCGCUGUUUGCUUAAAGGAAUUUCUGUAAGAAAUAUUCUAAAUAUAUGAAUAAAUAUACUAGACAUCCCUUAUUUUGGAAAUAAAUUGAUCCAAUUUAGAACGAUAGGAGAUUCCACUAGGCAUAAAUGGGUUAAAUACUAAAGCAUACACAGGUAGUUGUAUAUAUAAAAUAAUCAAUUUGCGGCUUUUAUAACGUCAGAUAUUCAAUCUGUUUAGAAGUGGUGUAAUUACAGUGUAUUAUUAAUUAAUGUGUUACGUAUGUGACGAUGUCGCUAGUAAUUGAAGCCAGUUAACACGAUUUGAAAAUAAACACCAGUAUUUAAAAAUAAAUUAUUUAAAGUUUAUGGUUCAAAUGUCACUUUACAACACAAUAUUAAUUUUCAUAUGAAAGUAGCAAGCAAUACUGUGUCAUAAGGAAAAUGAGCAAGCUUACAGAUGCCCAUACAAAGGACGAAAAUAUUUUAUACGAAAUAUUGUAUUAUUAUAAGUAUAAAGAAAGGUCAAACAAGACCGAUGAUGAAUAAAUCGUUUAUUAAAUAUAAUUGUCUGCAUUUGUUAUGUGUAUUCUCAAGCAGUUAUCACGGUUAAUCUUCUACUUAUCAUAUCAUUACGUAUAUUUAAAUACAUUGGCAUUUAAACUACAAAUAUCCAGUACAAACAGAGUCCCGAACAUCGAAUCUGGUGCACUAUGGUUCCUACACUAAGGUGGGCAUUUGGUUCAAGUGUUAUUCUGACCGCCAGGACAAAUUUUCCAUCAUUAUUUUGACAGUCCGGACAACGGUCCCUAAUUUAUUCUACCCUAACUAUCGUUCAUGUUAAGCUUUUAAUAAAUAUGUUCGGGAUUUUUGUUGAAUGGCGUGAAUGAAAAUAAACAUUAGAAACUGC